ensembl:processed_transcript
UUGUAGGACAAACAUUAAACAAACAUUAAUGAAAACGUUUUAAAACUGUGCCAGAACUACGUUUGGUAUAAAUAUAUUUCUAGUAUGUAGUUUCUUAUACUUCGAAUCGCUAAAUUCUGCUUACACAUCUCGCUACGAAGUCUCUGCUCUCCACCAGAAGGCAGUUUUACGAUGCUUCUCAAGACGUCAUUCGUGUCGUCGUUUAAGCCAGGUCCCUGCCACAGUUAGCAGCAACACUGGCCAUAAUGAAAUCAUCAGUAAUCCCAAAACUCAUCUCAUCAUACCCAAGAUGAAAGUGCAUUUUCUUUUUUUCGGACUGAAUGGUAAAAUGACAAACCAAUUAAACAGGCUGUGGACAUCAAUGGAAGACACGUGAUUUAUUGUUCAACGGUGUGGUCUAACUGUUUACAGGUAAAGAAAUCUGACUUGCCUUUAUUGGUGAAGUAAAUAAAGUAAAUUGGAUAUAUGGAUUAACAAUGC